rnacentral:rRNA from 1 species
UGGGGAAUAUUGCACAAUGGGCGCAAGCCUGAUGCAGCCAUGCCGCGUGUGUGAAGAAGGCCUCGGGUUGUAAAGCACUUUCAGCGAGGAGGAAGGUGGUGAGCUUAAUACGCUCAUCAAUUGACGUUACUCGCAGAAGAAGCACCGGCUAACUCCGUGCCAGCAGCCGCGGUAAUACGGAGGGUGCAAGCGUUAAUCGGAAUUACUGGGCGUAAAGCGCACGCAGGCGGUUUGUUAAGUCAGAUGUGAAAUCCCCGGGCUCAACCUGGGAACUGCAUUUGAAACUGGCAAGCUAGAGUCUCGUAGAGGGGGGUAGAAUUCCAGGUGUAGCGGUGAAAUGCGUAGAGAUCUGGAGGAAUACCGGUGGCGAAGGCGGCCCCCUGGACGAAGACUGACGCUCAGGUGCGAAAAGCGUGGGGAGCAAAACAGGAUUAGAUACCCUGGUAGUCCACGCUGUAAACGAUGUCGAUUUUGGAGGUUGUGCCCUUGAGGCGUGGCUUCCGGAGCUAACGCGUUAAA